GACGAACGCUGGCGGCAGGCCUAACACAUGCAAGUCGAGCGGAGCGGCGGACGGGUGAGUAAUGCCUAGGAAUCUGCCUGGUAGUGGGGGAUAACGUCCGGAAACGGGCGCUAAUAUCGCAUACUAUCAGAUGAGCCUAGGUCGGAUUAGCUAGUUGGAGGGGGAAAGGCCUACAAAGGCGACGAUCCGUAACUGGUUUGAGAGGACGACCAGCCACACUGGGACUGAGACACGGCCCAGACUACUACGGGAGGCAGCAGUGGGGAAUGUUGGACAAGGGGGGAAACCAUGAUCCAGCCAUGCCGCGUGUAUGAUGAAGGCCUUCGGGUUGUAAAGUACUUUUGGCAGGGAAGCGGUAUCUGCAGAAUAAGCACCGGCUAACUACGUGCCAGCAGCAGCGGUAAUAC
rnacentral:rRNA from 1 species